rnacentral:rRNA from 1 species
CGGACGGGUGAGGAAUACAUCGGAAUCUACUCUGUCGUGGGGGAUAACGUAGGGAGACUUACGCUAAUACCGCAUACGACCUACGGGUGAAAGCAGGGGAUCUUCGGACCUUGCGCGAUUGAAUGAGCCGAUGUCGGAUUAGCUAGUUGGCGGGGUAAAGGCCCACCAAGGCGACGAUCCGUAGCUGGUCUGAGAGGAUGAUCAGCCACACUGGAACUGAGACACGGUCCAGACUCCUACGGGAGGCAGCAGCC